GACGAACGCUGGCGGCGUGCUUAACACAUGCAAGUCGAACGGUGAAGCGCCUUCCUUUUUGGUGGGUGUGGAUGAGUGGCGAACGGGUGAGUAACACGUGAGUAACCUGCCCCCUUCUUCUGGAUAACCGCAUGAAAGUGUGGCUAAUACGGGAUAUUCUGGGUCUGUCGCAUGAUGGGUCUGGGAAAGAUAUUGUUUCGGUGGGGGAUGGGCUCGCGGCUUCUCAGCUGGUUGGUGGGGUGAUGGCCUACCAAGGCGGUGACGGGUAGCCGGCCUGAGAGGGUGGACGGUCAUACUGGGACUGAGACACGGGCCAGACUCGUACUGGGGGCAGCAGUGGGGAAUAUUGCACGAUGGGCGCAAGCCUGAUGCAGCGACGCCGCGUGAGGGAUGGCGGCCUUCGGGUGGGGAACCUCUUUCGCCAGUGAAGCAGGACUGCCUCGUGUGUGGGUGGGUUGACGGUAGCUGGAUAAGAAGCGCCGGCUAACUACGUG
rnacentral:rRNA from 1 species